UACAGAGACUGCAAGCGUUAUUCGGAUUCACUGGGCGUAAAGGGUGCGCAGGCGGCCGUGUGUGUGAGGCGUGAAAGCCCGGGGCUUAACCCCGGAAUUGCACCUCAAACUACAUGGCUAGAGCAUUGGAGAGGGUAGCGGAAUUCACGGUGUAGCAGUGAAAUGCGUAGAUAUCGUGAGGAACACCAGAGGCGAAGGCAGCUACCUGGACAAUUGCUGACGCUCAGGCACGAAAGCUAGGGGAGCAAACAGG
rnacentral:rRNA from 1 species